CUUAAUAACGCAGGCGAGAUUAAAAGUCCGAGCGAAAGCGACUAUCGAUUUAUAGAUGGGUUAAGUCUGUGUUAUUAGACCCGAAACGACGUGAUCUAGCCAUGGGCAGGGAUAUAGGCCCGAACAGGUGUACGUUGCAUAGUACUCUGAUGACCUGUGGUUAGGAGUGAAAUGCUAAUCUAACGUCGUGAUAGCUGGUUCUCUGCGAAAUGCAUUGCAGUGCAGCGUCAAUGAAUAAACUUAUGGUAGGUACAGCACUGAUUGACAUGUCUUAACCGACCGACUAGGGGGAUGUGAAAGUCCUAUCUAGGUCAGUUAACCUCGGAAUGAUCAUAAGCAGUAAUUGGCAGUGAGUCGUAGGGUGAUAAGGUCUUAUGACGAGAGGGAAACAGCCCAAACAAUGUGUUAAAGUCCCAAAGAUAUUAGCAGUGAAAUUAAGGAAGUGUAUUGCCUGAUACAGCCAUGAUGUGGGAUUGGAAGCGUCCAUCAUUUAAAGAAAGCGUAACAGCUCAGUGGUCUAGGCCGUAUGCGCCGAAGAUAUACCGGGUCUUAACUAAUACACUAAUACCAUUGUAUAACAUCAAUCAACCUGAUUGAUAUUAAUAAGUAGCAGAGCGUCCAGUACUGAUGAAGAGCAGUAUUUUAUUGUUUGGAGGUAACUGGAGUGAGGAUGCUGGCAUGAGUAACAAGAAUGAAUGUUAAAUCAUUCACACCGAAAGAGAAAGGUUUCUGAGGGCAAGUUAGACUGCCUCAGGUUAUAAUCCAUAUUCGUAUGGAACACUUAGUUUCUAAGUGUAAGCGGUAUCUAAGGGGUUAGCCAAUGCGACACCUCGAUGAUUAUAUUGCAGAACGGCCCUUUACGGGGUCCAGGAAAAUAAUGCAAUCAUAGCUACCGUACCUUAAACCGACACAGGUUCUCGGGUAGAGUAUACUAAGGUGACGGAAUAAUCAAAUUUAAGGAACUCGGCAAAAUGAUCUCGUACGUUCGACAAGAAGAGAUGCCCUUACUAGGUAAGGGUGGCACAGAAUCGGAGGGUGCGACUGUUUACCCAAAACACAGCAGCCUGCUAACACUAACAGUGGUCGUAUAGGUUGUGAUUCCUGUCCGGUGCUUCGUGAUAUAGUGAUUGGUAGUGUAUUUUUAAUAUGCUAUCGAAGCUUGAAGACGAAGUAAACGACGGUCUUAACUAUAAGGAUCCUAAGGUAGCGAAAUUCCUUGGCCAAUAAUUACGGUCCUGCAUGAAUGGAACAGCGAUGCCCUCACUGUCUUAAAUUUGAGUCCGGUGAAAUUGAAUUAGCCGUGCAGAUGCGGUUUACUUCCAGUUAGACGGGAAGACCCUAUGCAACUUUACUAUAGCCAGAUAUUGUGUUAGUUUACCGUUUGUCACAGGUAUGAGGUAGUCGAUAUGACGCAAGUGAGAGACCUCAACAAACCGUAGACGCACUAACCUACUAAAAUUAGGGAACGUGUCUGGUGGGUAGUUUUACUGGGACGGUACCCUCCAAGAAAGCAUCGGAGGGGUCCAAUAGGUACACAUAGCUUAGACGGGGACUAAGUGAUCAUGAAAGAUCAAAAACAGCAUAAUGGCAUAAGUGUGCUAAACUGAGAGACUGACAGGUCAAUCAGGUACGUAAGUAGGGCAUAGUGAACCGAUAGUAUGUUAUGGUACAGCUAUCGUUCAACGGAUAAGUUACGCUAGGGAUAACAGGCUAAUAGCGCGAAAGAGUUCAUAUCGUAAGCGCUGUUUGGCACCUCGAUGUCGACUCAUCACAUCCUCCUGGUGCACAAGCUGGGAAGGGUUCGACUGUUCGUCGAUUAAAGUGGUACGUGAGUUGGGUUCAAUACGACGUGAGUCAGUAUAGUCCCUAUCUUCUGGAAGGACAUAUAGAAGACGAAGAACAUCUGGUUAGUACGAAAGGACCAUCAGGUGCACAUCUCUGGUGUAUCUGCUAUUAAUUGCAAUUUUGAUUGUUAAUGGUAUCGCAGAGUAGCUACAUGUGUUAAGGAUAAGAUCUGAAAGCAUAUAAGAUCGAAGCUGUUCUUUAGAAGCUAACGCUCGUAUACGUACGAGUAAACGACAGGAUGUAGACUACGUCCUUGAUAGGUCACAUGUGUAAGCGCUGCAAGGCGUCAGCUGAGUGAUACUAAUGAGUCGUUAGACUUGAUGA
rnacentral:rRNA from 1 species